AACAGGUGAAUAACAGGUGAAUAACAGGUGACUAACAGGUGACUAACAGGUGACUAACAGGUUACUAACAGGUGAAUAACAGGUGACUAACAGGUGAAUAACAGGUGAAUAACAGGUGAAUAACAGGUGACCAACAGGUAAAUAACAGGUUACGAACAGGUGAAUAAGAGGUGACUAACAGGUGGAUAACAGGUGACUAACAGGUGACAAACAGGUGACAAACAGGUGACAAACAGGUGACAAACAGGUGACUAACAGGUGAAUAAGAGGUGAAUAAGAGGUGACUAACAGGUGAAUAAGAGGUGACUAACAGGUGAAUAAGAGGUGACUAACAGGUGAAUAAGAGGUGAAUAACAGGUUACGAACAGGUGAAUAACAGGUGAAUAACAGGUGAAUAACAGGUGACUAACAGGUGACAAACAGG